AACGAACGCUGGCGGCAGGCUUAACACAUGCAAGUCGAACGCAUCGCAAGAUGAGUGGCAGACGGGUGAGUAACGCGUGGGAACAUACCCUUUUCUACGGAAUAGCUCUGGGAAACUGGAAUUAAUACCGUAUAAGCCCUACGGGGGAAAGAUUUAUCGGGGAAGGAUUGGCCCGCGAUGGAUUAGCUAGUUGGUGGGGUAAAGGCCUACCAAGGCGACGAUCCAUAGAUGGUCUGAGAGGAUGAUCAGCCACAUGGGGACUGAGACAAGGCCCAAAAUCCUACGGGAGGCAGCAGUGGGGAAUAUUGGACAAUGGGCGCAAGCCUGAUCCAGCCAUGCCGCGUGAGUGAUGAAGGCCUUAGGGUUGUAAAGCUCUUUCACCGAUGAAGAUAAUGACGGUAGUCGGAGAAGAAGCCCCGGCUAACUUCGUGCCAGCAGCCGCAGUAAUAC
rnacentral:rRNA from 1 species